rnacentral:lncRNA from 1 species
CGGCUUGGUACGGGACCUGUACUCUCGAUUAUUUCCGAUUAGGAUGUUGGAUGGAUAUUGGUGUAAGGUGGAUAAUCAUGACAUAUCAUGCAUACAUUAUCAUUAUGGAAGUAAAUUCCCACUUGUGAGUUACAGGUAUUAUGUAUUUCUACGUUUAUGUUUGUGAGAUGGUUAUGAGUAGAAUAUUGAUUAUAUGAUUUGAUAUAUUGGUAAUGUUGGAAUAAUUGGUAAGUUAUGUAUUACUUCAUGAUGUUGAUGAUAACUGA